AUUCGCGAGCAAGAUCCAUUAAAACAAGGAUUGAAAC
rfam:Methanosarcina mazei strain Goe1, complete genome.